ACGAACGCUGGCGGCGUGCUUAACACAUGCAAGUCGAACGGAAAGGCCCUGCUUGCAGGGUACUCGAGUGGCGAACGGGUGAGUAACACGUGGGUGAUCUGCCCUGCACUUCGGGAUAAGCCUGGGAAACUGGGUCUAAUACCGGAUAGGAGCCAUUUUUAGUGUGAUGGUUGGAAAGUUUUUUCGGUGUAGGAUGAGCUCGCGGCCUAUCAGCUUGUUGGUGGGGUAAUGGCCUACCAAGGCGGCGACGGGUAGCCGGCCUGAGAGGGUGGACGGCCACAUUGGGACUGAGAUACGGCCCAGACUCCUACGGGAGGCAGCAGUGGGGAAUAUUGCACAAUGGGCGCAAGCCUGAUGCAGCGACGCCGCGGGGGGGAGGACGGCCUUCGGGUUGUAAACUCCUUUCGCUAGGGACGAAGCUUUUUGUGACGGUACCUAGAUAAGAAGCACCGGCUAACUACGUG
rnacentral:rRNA from 1 species